rnacentral:rRNA from 1 species
CUGUCGGCGUGCUUAACACAUGCAAGUCGAACGGAAAGGCCCUGCUUUUGUGGGGUGCUCGAGUGGCGAACGGGUGAGUAAUACGUGAGUAACCUGCCCUUGACUUUGGGAUAACUUCAGGAAACUGGGGCUAAUACCGGAUAGGAGCUCCUGCUGCAUGGUGGGGGUUGGAAAGCUUCGGCGGUUGGGGAUGGACUCGCGGCUUAUCAGCUUGUUGGUGGGGUAGUGGCUUACCAAGGCUUUGACGGGUAGCCGGCCUGAGAGGGUGACCGGCCACAUUGGGACUGAGAUACGGCCCAGACUCCUACGGGAGGCAGCAGUGGGGAAUAUUGCACAAUGGGCGGAAGCCUGAUGCAGCAACGCCGCGUGCGGGAUGACGGCCUUCGGGUUGUAAACCGCUUUCGCCUGUGACGAAGCGUGAGUGACGGUAAUGGGUAAAGAAGCACCGGCUAACUACGUGCCAGCAGCCGCGGUGAUACGUAGGGUGCGAGCGUUGUCCGGAUUUAUUGGGCGUAAAGGGCUCGUAGGUGGUUGAUCGCGUCGGAAGUGUAAUCUUGGGGCUUAACCCUGAGCGUGCUUUCGAUACGGGUUGACUUGAGGAAGGUAGGGGAGAAUGGAAUCCCUGGUGGAGCGGUGGAAUGCGCAGAUAUCAGGAGGAACACCAGUGGCGAAGGCGGUUCUCUGGGCCUUUCCUGACGCUGAGGAGCGAAAGCGUGGGGAGCGAACAGGCUUAGAUACCCUGGUAGUCCACGCUGUAAACGGUGGGUACUAGGUGUGGGGUCCAUUCCACGGGUUCCGUGCCGUAGCUAACGCUUUAAGUACCCCGCCUGGGGAGUACGGCCGCAAGGCUAAAACUCAAAGGAAUUGACGGGGCCCCGCACAAGCGGCGGAGCAUGCGGAUUAAUUCGAUGCAACGCGUAGAACCUUACCUGGGUUUGACAUGGAUCGGGAGUGCUCAGAGAUGGGUGUGCCUCUUUUGGGGUCGGUUCACAGGUGGUGCAUGGCUGUCGUCAGCUCGUGUCGUGAGAUGUUGGGUUAAGUCCCGCAACGAGCGCAACCCUUGUUCACUGUUGCCAGCACGUUAUGGUGGGGACUCAGUGGAGACCGCCGGGGUCAACUCGGAGGAAGGUGGGGAUGACGUCAAGUCAUCAUGCCCCUUAUGUCCAGGGCUUCACGCAUGCUACAAUGGCUGGUACAGAGAGUGGCGAGCCUGUGAGGGUGAGCGAAUCUCGGAAAGCCGGUCUCAGUUCGGAUUGGGGUCUGCAACUCGACCUCAUGAAGUCGGAGUCGCUAGUAAUCGCAGAUCAGCAACGCUGCGGUGAAUACGUUCCCGGGGCUUGUACACACCGCCCGUCAAGUCAUGAAAGUUGGUAACACCCGAAGCCGGUGGCCUAACCGUUGUGGGGGAGCCGUCGAAGGUGGGACUGGUGAUUA